rnacentral:rRNA from 1 species
GACGAACGCUGGCGGCGUGCUUAACACAUGCAAGUCGAACGGAAAGGCCCUGCUUUCGUGGGGUGCUCGAGUGGCGAACGGGUGAGUAACACGUGAGUAACCUGCCCUUGAUUUUGGGAUAACUUCAGGAAACUGGGGCUAAUACCGGAUAGGAGCUCCUGCUGCAUGGUGGGGGUUGGAAAGUUUCGGCGGUUGGGGAUGGACUCGCGGCUUAUCAGCUUGUUGGUGGGGUAGUGGCUUACCAAGGCUUUGACGGGUAGCCGGCCUGAGAGGGUGACCGGCCACAAUGGGACUGAGAUACGGCCCAGACUCCUACGGGAGGCAGCAGUGGGGAAUAUUGCACAAUGGGCGGAAGCCUGAUGCAGCAACGCCGCGUGCGGGAUGACGGCCUUCGGGUUGUAAACCGCUUUCGCCUGUGACGAAGCGUGAGUGACGGUAAUGGGUAAAGAAGCACCGGCUAACUACGUG